UUUGGCCAUCAUGAUCAAAGAUAAUGGAUCAAAGGUCAAUGACCAAAGGUUAGGAUUAGGAUCAUAAAUCACCUUUAAGGAUCAAAGGUCAGUGAUCCGAAUCAAAGGGCAGCAAUCAGGAUCAAUAGGAGCAAAGCUAUCAAGCUCAAAGUUUAGCAAUUGUGAUUAAAGGUAAGUCACCAGGAUCAAAUGUUGGUAUCAAAGCUCAGCUAUAUAGAUCAAACAUCUGAAAUAUGAUCAUAGAUUAGCAAUUGGGUCCAAAGUUCAGCCAUCAGAAGCAAACAUCGGGUAUCGGGGUCACAGGUCAAUGAACACAAUCAUAGGUCAGGAUCAAAGCUAGCUAUCAGGAUCAAAGCUACACAUUCAGUAUAAGAGAAAAGAAUGCGCGCUGCGAAUUGCUUUUCUAGUUUGAAAACCUGCUGCAUCCACCAAAAACUGAGUCU